rnacentral:rRNA from 1 species
GCUAAACCAUGCACCGAAGCUGCGGCAGCGACACUGUGUGUUGUUGGGUAGGGGAGCGUUCUGUAAGCCUGUGAAGGUGUGUCGUGAGGCAUGCUGGAGGUAUCAGAAGUGCGAAUGCUGACAUAAGUAACGAUAAAGCGGGUGAAAAGCCCGCUCGCCGGAAGACCAAGGGUUCCUGUCCAACGUUAAUCGGGGCAGGGUGAGUCGACCCCUAAGGCGAGGCCGAAAGGCGUAGUCGAUGGGAAACGGGUUAAUAUUCCCGUACUUGGUGUUACUGCGAAGGGGGGACGGAGAAGGCUAUGUUGGCCGGGCGACGGUUGUCCCGGUUUAAGCGUGUAGGUGUGUGUUCCAGGUAAAUCCGGUUCACUUUAACACUGAGGCGUGACGACGAGGCACUACGGUGCUGAAGCAACAAAUGCCCUGCUUCCAGGAAAAGCCUCUAAGCAUCAGGUAACAUCAAAUCGUACCCCAAACCGACACAGGUGGUCAGGUAGAGAAUACCAAGGCGCUUGAGAGAACUCGGGUGAAGGAACUAGGCAAAAUGGUGCCGUAACUUCGGGAGAAGGCACGCUGACACGUAGGUGAAGUGAUUUACUCAUGGAGCUGAAGUCAGUCGAAGAUACCAGCUGGCUGCAACUGUUUAUUAAAAACACAGCACUGUGCAAACACGAAAGUGGACGUAUACGGUGUGACGCCUGCCCGGUGCCGGAAGGUUAAUUGAUGGGGUCAGCGCAAGCGAAGCUCCUGAUCGAAGCCCCGGUAAACGGCGGCCGUAACUAUAACGGUCCUAAGGUAGCGAAAUUCCUUGUCGGGUAAGUUCCGACCUGCACGAAUGGCGUAAUGAUGGCCAGGCUGUCUCCACCCGAGACUCAGUGAAAUUGAACUCGCUGUGAAGAUGCAGUGUACCCGCGGCAAGACGGAAAGACCCCGUGAACCUUUACUAUAGCUUGACACUGAACAUUGAGCCUUGAUGUGUAGGAUAGGUGGGAGGCUUUGAAGUGUGGACGCCAGUCUGCAUGGAGCCGACCUUGAAAUACCACCCUUUAAUGUUUGAUGUUCUAACGUGGACCCGUUACCCGGGUUGCGGACAGUGUCUGGUGGGUAGUUUGACUGGGGCGGUCUCCUCCUAAAGAGUAACGGAGGAGCACGAAGGUUGGCUAAUCCUGGUCGGACAUCAGGAGGUUAGUGCAAUGGCAUAAGCCAGCUUGACUGCGAGCGUGACGGCGCGAGCAGGUGCGAAAGCAGGUCAUAGUGAUCCGGUGGUUCUGAAUGGAAGGGCCAUCGCUCAACGGAUAAAAGGUACUCCGGGGAUAACAGGCUGAUACCGCCCAAGAGUUCAUAUCGACGGCGGUGUUUGGCACCUCGAUGUCGGCUCAUCACAUCCUGGGGCUGAAGUAGGUCCCAAGGGUAUGGCUGUUCGCCAUUUAAAGUGGUACGCGAGCUGGGUUUAGAACGUCGUGAGACAGUUCGGUCCCUAUCUGCCGUGGGCGCUGGAGAACUGAGGGGGGCUGCUCCUAGUACGAGAGGACCGGAGUGGACGCAUCACUGGUGUUCGGGUUGUCAUGCCAAUGGCACUGCCCGGUAGCUAAAUGCGGAAGAGAUAAGUGCUGAAAGCAUCUAAGCACGAAACUUGCCCCGA